UACGGUGAAUACGUUCCCGGACCUUGCACACACCGCCCGUCAAGCUAUGGAAGCCGGGUGUACCUAAAGUCGGUAACCGUAAGGAGCCGCCUAGGGUAAAACUGGUGACUGGGGCU
rnacentral:rRNA from 1 species